rnacentral:rRNA from 1 species
AAUGAACGUUGGCGGCGUGGAUUAGGCAUGCAAGUCGAGCGCGAAGUGUUUACACUGAAAGCGGCGAAUGGGAGAGUAACGCGUAGAGUACCUACCCCCGGGACCGGGAUAGCGUCGGGAAACUGACGGUAAUACCGGAUAAUGUCUCCGGACCAAAGGUGUGAUUCCACCUGGGGAUGGUUCUGCGUCCGAUUAGCUAGUUGGCGGGGUAAUGGCCCACCAAGGCAACGAUGGGUAGCGGGCGUGAGAGCGUGGCCCGCCUCACUGGGACUGAGACACUGCCCAGACACCUGCGGGUGGCUGCAGUCGAGAAUCUUCGGCAAUGGGCGAAAGCCUGACCGAGCGACGCCGCGUGCGGGAUGAAGGCCCUCGGGUUGUAAACCGCUGUUGUUGGGGAUGAAAUCUUUGGGGGUUCUCCCCCAUUGUUGACAGAUCCAAUGAGGAAGUCCGGGCUAAGUUCGUGCCAGCAGCCGCCGUAAUAC